rnacentral:rRNA from 1 species
GAGGGAUGACGGCCUUCGGGUUGUAAACCUCUUUCAGCAGGGAAGAAGCGAAAGUGACGGUACCUGCAGAAGAAGCGCCGGCUAACUACGUGCCAGCAGCCGCGGUAAUACGUAGGGCGCAAGCGUUGUCCGGAAUUAUUGGGCGUAAAGAGCUCGUAGGCGGCUUGUCGCGUCGGUUGUGAAAGCCCGGGGCUUAACCCCGGGUCUGCAGUCGAUACGGGCAGGCUAGAGUUCGGUAGGGGAGAUCGGAAUUCCUGGUGUAGCGGUGAAAUGCGCAGAUAUCAGGAGGAACACCGGUGGCGAAGGCGGAUCUCUGGGCCGAUACUGACGCUGAGGAGCGAAAGCGUGGGGAGCGAACAGGAUUCGAUACCCUGGUAGUCCAAGGG